rnacentral:lncRNA from 15 species
GGAGGAACAGCUGGAUGACACUGAGGCUCCUCAUUCUCUUCAGCCUCUUCAGCCUCACUGAACACUUUGAGGUGAAAGAUGAUGAGUGGGAGGAGCUCAGCCCUGAUAUCGCUGCACUGCACCACCUCAGAGGACAUCCUGAACACAUGUUUCACGAAAGGUUCAGGAACCCUUUGAUCCUAAGGGCCACAUCCUUCCAUGGACAUGAGAGAUCGAGUAGCAGAGUGGACAUUGACCAAAACCCAAUGAGUCUGCAGGAUGAUUUGCAGGAGUGUGAGGAGAAUUUUGCAGUGUGUGUCCAUGAGAUGGGACAGGUUGGUAGAUUUUAAAAGGAAAUCAGAAGCAGUGGUGCUGG